CCAGGUGACGGAUCGCAGCGGGGCCCGGGUGGGAGAGUUCGAGGACCUGUCGCAGGUGCCCAAGUACGAGAUGGCCGAGAGCGACUACGACAAGAGGACAGAGUCGAUGCGCUCCUUCCUUCGAUCCAGCGCUCGUGGGGCCACUGGGACGC